rnacentral:rRNA from 1 species
CCUACGGGAGGCAGCAGUGAGGAAUAUUGGUCAAUGGACGAGAGUCUGAACCAGCCAAGUAGCGUGAAGGAUGACUGCCCUCUGGGUUGUAAACUUCUUUUAUAUGGGAAUAAAACGUUCCACGUGUGGGAUUUUGUAUGUACCAUAUGAAUAAGGAUCGGCUAACUCCGUGCCAGCAGCCGCGGUAAUACGGAGGAACCGAGCGUUAUCCGGAUUUAUUGGGUUUAAAGGGAGCGUAGGUGGAUUGUUAAGUCAGUUGUGAAAGUUUGCGGCUCAACCGUAAAAUUGCAGUUGAAACUGGCAGUCUUGAGUACAGUAGAGGUGGGCGGAAUUCGUGGUGUAGCGGUGAAAUGCUUAGAUAUCACGAAGAACUCCGAUUGCGAAGGCAGUUCACUGGACUGCAACUGACACUGAGGCUCGAAAGUGUGGGUAUCAAACAGGAUUAGAUACCCCGGUAGUC